GAUGAACGCUGGCGGCGUGCCUAACACAUGCAAGUCGAGCGGUAACAGGAGUAGUUUACUACUUGCUGACGAGCGGCGGACGGCUGAGUAACGCGUGGGAACAUGCCCCAAAGUGAGGGAUAAGCUCCAGAAAUGGAGUCUAAUACCGCAUAUGAUCUUCGGAUUAAAGGAUUUAUCCGCUUUGGGAGUGGCCUGCGUACGAUUAGAUAGUUGGUGAGGUAAUGGCUCACCGAGUCGACGAUCGUUAACUGGUCUGAGAGGAUGAUCAGUCAGACUGGAACUGAGACACGGUCCAGACUCCUACGGGAGGCAGCAGUGAGGAAUCUUCCACAAUGGGGGCAACCCUGAUGGAGCAACGCCGCGUGCAGGAUGAAGGCCUUCGGGUCGUAAACUGCUUUUAUAAGUGAAGAAUAUGACGGUAACUUAUGAAUAAGCACCGGCUAACUACGUGCCAGCCGCCGCGGUAA
rnacentral:rRNA from 1 species